CUGCGUUAGGGAUUGUAGUGGCAUCCUUUUUUGUCUUUUUUCAAAAAAGAUAUAACGGAAAGCCCGACCCUUG
rnacentral:ncRNA from 2 species